rnacentral:rRNA from 1 species
AAUUGGAGGGCAAGUCUGGUGCCAGCAGCCGCGGUAAUUCCAGCUCCAAUAGCGUAUAUUAAAGUUGUUGCAGUUAAAAAGCUCGUAGUUGAAUUUCGGGAUCAAUAUUUCGGUCAUGCCGUUGGUAUGCACUGUUAUCAUUGAUUUCUCACCUUCUAAAGAACCGUAAUGCCAUUAAUUUGGUGUUACGGGGAAUUAGGACUGUUACCUUGAAAAAAUUAGAGUGUUUAAAGCAGGCUCACGCUUGAAUACAUUAGCAUGGAAUAAUGAAAUAGGACAUCCGAUUCUAUUUUGUUGGUUUCUAGGAUCGAUGUAAUGAUUAAUAGGGAUAGUUGGGGGCAUUAGUAUUCAAUUGUCAGAGGUGAAAUUCUUGGAUUUAUUGAAGACUAACUACUGCGAAAGCAUUUGCCAAGGAUGUUUUCAUUAAUCAAGAACGAAAGUUAGGGGAUCGAAGACGAUCAGAUACCGUCGUAGUCUUAACCAUAAACUAUGCCAACUAGGGAUCGGAUGAUGUUAAUUUUUUAAUGACUCAUUCGGCGCCUUACGGGAAACCAAAGUGU